UACAGAGGGUGCAAGCGUUAAUCGGAAUUACUGGGCGUAAAGCGUGCGUAGACGGUUAUUUAAGUCAGGUGUGAAAGCCCCGGGCUCAACCUGGGAAUUGCAUUUGAGACUGAAUAGCUAGGGUGCGGAAGAGGGAAGCGGAAUUUCUGGUGUAGCGGUGAAAUGCGUAGAUAUCGGAAGGAACACCAGUGGCGAAAGCGGCUUCCUGGUCCAGCACCGACGUUCAGGCACGAAAGCGUGGGGAGCAAACAGG
rnacentral:rRNA from 1 species